AAGGGGUAAAUUAAUAAUUAUAUAAAUAAAAAAAGAAUUUUUAAAAUAAAAACAAAUAUUUAAUGGGGGUUAAAGUAUUUUUUUUAGAAAAAAUUUUUUAGUUUAUAGUUUAAUAGUAUUGUAAAAUAAAUUUGAAAUAAUUGAUAUAUUAAUUUUAUAAAAAGUAAUUUUAAUUUAGUGUAUCUUGUGUAUCAGAGUUUAUUAAAUAAUUUUUUUAUAUAAAAAAUUCUCGAAUUUAAAAGAGAUAAUUAAUUAUAAAAGUUAUUGUGGCAUAAAUAUUUUUAAUAAUUAAUUUGAAAUGAAAUGUUAAUCGUUUUUAAAUAUAUCUAGUUUUUUUAGAAAAAAAUUUAAUUUUAAAUUUAUCAUAGAAAUAAUUAAUUAAUUAAUUAUUUCUAUGAUAAAUUUUAUAUUUUAAGGGAUAAGCUUUAAAUUAAAUAAAUAUAAUAAAAUUAAAAAUUAUAUUGAAAUUUAUAUAAUUUAUAUUGUUAAUUAAUUUUAAUUUAUUAUAAAUAAUUUCAUUUAAAAUAAAAUUUAAUUAAAAAUUUAUAUUUUUAUAAAAAAAUAAUUUUUAAUUAGAAAAAUUUAGUUAUAAUGAUAAAAUUAGUAUAUUAAUUUAAUAAAAUAUAUAAAAUUAUUAAUUAAAAUUAAUAAAAAGGAAUUCGGCAAAAUUUUAUAUUCACUUGUUUAUCAAAAACAUGUCUUUUUGAAAUUAAUAUAAAGUCUAAUCUGCCCACUGAUUUUAGGAUUGAAGGGCUGCAGUAUUUUGACUGUACAAAGGUAGCAUAAUCAUUAGUCAUUUAAUUGAUGACUUGUAUGAAGGAUUGGAUGAAAUAUAAACUGUCUCUUUAUUAAAUUAUAGAAUUUAAUUUUUUAAUUAAAAAGUUAAAAUAAAUUAAAAAGACGAGAAGACCCUAUAGAGUUUUAUAAUUAUUUUAAUUAAGAUUAUUUAUAAAAUUAAAUAUUAAAAUUAUUUUAAUUAUUUUGUUGGGGUGAUAGAAAAAUAAGUAAAACUUUUUUUAAUUAUUAACAUAAAUAAGUGAUUAAUUGAUCCAAUUAUAUUGAUUAUAAGAAAAAAUUACCUUAGGGAUAACAGCGUAAUUUUUUUUUUUAGUUCAAAUAAAAAAAAAAGUUUGCGACCUCGAUGUUGGAUUAAGAUAAAAUUUAAAUGCAGAAGUUUAAAAUUUUGAUCUGUUCGAUCAUUAAAAUCUUACAUGAUUUGAGUUCAAACCGGUGUGAGCCAGGUUGGUUUCUAUCUUUUAAAAAAAAAAAUAUUUUAGUACGAAAGGAUUAAAUAUUUAAAUUAAAUUUAUUUUAUUGAUUAUUAAUAAUAAAAUUAUAAAUUUAUUAAAAUUGAUUUAUAA
rnacentral:rRNA from 1 species